ensembl:snoRNA
UGGACCAAUGAUGACAUCUACUGUCUUGUGAUUCAUGUACCAUGAACACCCUGGGACUGGAACUCUGAGGUCCAA